rnacentral:rRNA from 1 species
UACGUAGGGGGCAAGCGUUGUCCGGAAUCAUUGGGCGUAAAGCGCGUGUAGGCGGUUCGGUAAGUCUGCUGUGAAAGUCCAGGGCUCAACCCUGGGAUGCCGGUGGAUACUGUCGGGCUAGAGUGCGGAAGAGGCGAGUGGAAUUCCCGGUGUAGCGGUGAAAUGCGCAGAUAUCGGGAGGAACACCAAUUGCGAAGGCAGCUCGCUGGGACGUUACUGACGCUGAGACGCGAAAGCGUGGGGAGCAAACAGG